rnacentral:rRNA from 1 species
GACGAACGCUGGCGGCGUGCCUAAUACAUGCAAGUAGAACGCUGAAGGAGGAGCUUGCUUCUCUGGAUGAGUUGCGAACGGGUGAGUAACGCGUAGGUAACCUGCCUGGUAGCGGGGGAUAACUAUUGGAAACGAUAGCUAAUACCGCAUAAUAGUAGAUGUUGCAUGACAUUUGCUUAAAAGGUGCAAUCGCAUCACUACCAGAUGGACCUGCGUUGUAUUAGCUAGUUGGUGGGGUAACGGCUCACCAAGGCGACGAUACAUAGCCGACCUGAGAGGGUGAUCGGCCACACUGGGACUGAGACACGGCCCAGACUCCUACGGGAGGCAGCAGUAGGGAAUCUUCGGCAAUGGACGGAAGUCUGACCGAGCAACGCCGCGUGAGUGAAGAAGGUUUUCGGAUCGUAAAGCUCUGUUGUAAGAGAAGAACGAGUGUGAGAGUGGAAAGUUCACACUGUGACGGUAUCUUACCAGAAAGGGACGGCUAACUACGUG